GAAACAACUCAGCGGAACAGUGUUUAAGCAAACAGCACUGUGGGGUGGAAAAAGAAAGAGAGAGGGAGGGAGGGAUGGGGAGGAUAGGGAAGGCUAGACACACACACACACUCAGACUCUCUCUCUCUCACACACACACAUACACACUCACAUACAUCCUUAUUCAUAUAUUCUCUCUCUCACACACACACACACACUUGUACAGACUCUCUUUCAUACACACUCAUGUACACACUUAUUCAUAUACUCUCUCACACACACACAUCCCCCGCCCCCAGGACAACCUCUUCCAUCACUUUUCAUACUUGUCCACUCUCUCACCCCAAGCAAGGACAGGGAAUGCUGGGUACACUGGGAGACCGGACAGGGCUAGCUCCUCGGCUGGAGAAUGGAGGAUGAUACAUUCAGGACCACA
rnacentral:lncRNA from 1 species